ACAGAAGGGGCGAUGUUUGGUUACUUUUAAUUAUAAGUUGGUUCAAUAGACUUUACAGAAACCCAGGUCGUUGAGGUCAAGCACCCACUCACAAGGCCAGAGAACCAUCUUUCGAUCUGGCAGAGCAAACAUAUACCCAACUCUCUUUGCUUUGUCUGAUUUCAUCGUAGCUACAACUCGGGUUUAAAUGAACUUCCAUUGAUGUUUGUACCGUUUGAAGGAGAAUAUUAGGGGAAAAUGGCUGGGCGACGACAUAUUUUACCAUCCUUUGACAGACGCCCUAUACAGUCUCCAGGGAUGAUGCGGCAUGGGCCAUUGCCUGGGUUAGGUCGUGCUCCUGGCUACCGAGUUUUGGAGCCAGUACCCCGUGCUGAACUACUGGAAAACAAAAUUGCAUAUCAAGCAGCAGAGAUAAAACAACUUGCAGGAGACAAUCACAGACUGGCAGCUACUGAGGUGGAUUUGAGGCGGGAGCUUGUAGCUGCAGAGGAGGAAGUUCAAACAGUCAAGGCGCACAUGAGAAGCAUCCAGACUGAGAGCGACAUCCAGAUCCGAGCGUUGCUUGAUAAGAUUGUAAAAAAGGAACAGGAAAUUGCAGCCGGUGAGGGUGUGAAGAAGGAAUUGCAAAAGGCUCACAUGGAAGCACACAGCUUGGUGGAAGCACGGAAAGAGCUAAGAAUUCAAAUUCGACAGGCCACUGAUGAGUUACAGAAAGCUUGUAUUGAGGUUAAGAAACUGCCAGAUCUGCAUGGUGAACUUGAUAGUUUGAGACAAGAACACCAGAGGCUGCGUGCUACUUUUGAAUAUGAAAAAGGUAGAAACAUAGAACAAGUCGAGCAAAUGAAAGCAAUGGAGAAGAAUCUAAUGGGCAUGGCAGGAGAAGUAGAAAGGUUGCGUGCUGAGGUCUUGAAUGCAGAGAAGAGAGCACAAGCACCAAAUCCACGUAAUGGCGGUUACAUGAAUCCAGAUUCUUAUUACACUGCUACCAUGCCAGGUGCUAGUGCGUAUUUUGAUGGUUAUGGAAGGCCUUAUGUUUCAAUGGGUAAUAGGCCACUGGGAGAGGGAAUAAUUCAAUUUGCCAGCAGCAGCAGCAAGCAGCAUGCUGCUGCAGGUAUUCCAACUGCUGGGGAUGGUGCUAUCUGGGGAGCAGCAUAUAAUCCCUUGCUUGGCACUGCUUCUGGUGGUGCUACUGUCCCUACCACUGGGAGCAGUGCUGUUUGGGGAGGAGCAUAUGAUUCAGCACUUGCUCGUUACUAUUUAUCAUAAAUGGGUUAUAAGUAGCUGCUGAGAAAAGAUCAAGUGCAAAGGCCUGGAAAAUCUUUUGAGGCGUCACUGAGAGAUGGGGAAUCCAGGAAACGAAACAAUGGCACCACAUGUUACCAUUUUCUUCCACAAGCUCCCAGCAACCGACGACAACACAAAGAGGAUCAGUCAUCAUAUGUCCUUCAUGAUUGGCCAUGCACUCGUCACCCAUAGCAUGAUGAAGCCGAAGGUUGGAGCCAAGCAAGAUAAAAAAAAAGUUGUGAAGGUAGUUAAGACGCAGAUUGUCAAAACCCCUUCAAAGAAUGCAAUGAGAAACCAGGGGAAAAGAGCCGUCAGGGAUAAAAGGAAGAGAGACGUUGAGGCCAAGACAAUUGAGGCCAUUUUGGCAGAAAUUGCUCAGCUGACACCAACUCUAGUCGAAACUACUAGGAUCCCAAAAACCCCUUCAUCCACUAAGCCCCACAUGCCAGCUCAUUUCAUGGUUGACACUAUCCCAGUCAACCUACCUAGCAUUGAGAGUGUGAUGGUGACCUCUACUGAAGACAUGGACGAGGAUGAAGCUUUAGUGACUUAGGAGUCCACUACGUCUUCACAAGAAGGCCAAAACGUUGACCGCUAGAAAAUAGCUGAAGGGGUAGUCAAGGCCCUUAAUGUGCCAUCAAGACGUGGAGGAAAACCUAAGGGGGUCAAGAAUAAAGAAUAUCCAGUUUUCAGACACAACUCUUAUUCAGGGCCAAAAACUCGCAACAAAACUCAGAAAAUGGCACCUAGAGACAUAUUGUCAGUGGGUACUACAUAAGAAGAUGAAGAGCUAUCCUGGAAAGAGAAUCCAUUGUAUGUGGAGCUUAUAGUCUAAAAAGUUUCCCAACUGCAAGAACACCGGAUUGACGUUUCCUCACAGGGUUUAGAAAGUAGCAAAAGCAGGGAAGGCUGGCUCAAAUUGAGUACCAAUUAUAUGCCCCUCUCCAACCUCUCUCUUUGAGAAACCCUAAGGCCGACCUUUCUGAGUGUGAAUUCGUGCUCGUCCGGUGGCACCCUGCCGUUUGGGCUGGCUCCGGCCAUGCUGACAUCUUAGGGCUGCUAGUAGACGGGUUCUCGACGUAUAUUGUAACGUCCCGAACUUGAAAUUUACUGGUUUACUUGGCAUUUUGACUGUAAACGAUCUUUACUUCACUUUUACUGUCGUUUCGGUACUUUUAGUGACCCUAAAAGUUGACUUUUUGUUCGGGUCAGAAUUUGAGGAAACUUUCUUCAUGAAAAUUGUAGAAGACAAUAAACCGAGCGCGUGCAUAUGUGGUGCGUAAAAAUAGGAGUUCAUAUGUGAAAGUUAUGGGUGAAAUACGGAAGUUACUGUUCUUGGUGAAUUGUGUGUGUAUAUAUAUAUAUGGAAAGUUACCACAGUAGUUUCCAGUUUCCAUUUCUGGAAACCCACUCGGUAACUCUCUCUCACUCCUUUCCCAAUCUGUCCCUCCUCUCCCCGUCGGCCUCUCUCUUUUUCCGUUCGAUUCGCCGCCGUCCGGCCACCUGACGGCGUGCCACCAGGCAAUAUAGGACCGCCUCCUUCCACUGCACGCAUCGGUGGUAGUAAAUCACGGUGAUUUGGUCGGAAAACCCCGAAUCGAAGCAAGGAACCUCACGGGGGGCAGUUUCAGCUUUUCCGGCGAUUCCGCCAUUUCUGGCCGUUUCCGACCACCAAAUUGGGUCUGUAGAGGAGCCCCGAGCCGGUGAUCAUUUCUCCUAAGACCUUUGACUCCGAUUUGCAGCGUGGAAGGAGAAUCAAGGAAAACCCGAUUUUAGGGUUUGGAAGUUUUCUGGGAUUUUUUCACCGGCUGAAUUCAUGCACUUAAAGGUAAAAUUGGAAUGUGUUGUAGUUGAGAAAAAUGUUGGGCGUGUUGAGUAGUUGUUGCUGCCAAAAUUUGGUGGCCAUCGGAGGUGGUGGCCACUGGCGCGUGGCCCCCACACUCCGCCACUGUGGGUGGCGCGUGGAGGCGUGUAGGGCUGGUUUUUAAUUCCUGUUUUAGCCCAAUUAAAUCCUAUAAAUGUUGUGGAGCUUGUAUGUGAAGUUUGGUGGAAAUUGAAGGAGUUUUGUAUCGAUUGUGUAAUUCCGAAGUUUAGGUUGUCGAUCAUUGAAUUAUGAGAAUCCGACCGUCAGAUUUCUCUCGGUUCUGCCCUAGAACCUUUAAACUAAUGAGUUGGUAUUAGGGGUGAAGUUGGAUUAAAUUGGAAAAGAAAUUGGAUGUUUGAUUUAGGAGAAUAAGAUAUUAGAAUCGUAUUUAAUUGCCAAAUCGUUAUUCACGAAUUAUAUUUAUGUACAGGGCGUCGUACCGAGUUAUUGCUCGACGAAGGAACUCGUACGCGUGAUCGCCUAAAUAGUACUUUUGCAGGCGAAAUUAGUUGAGGUCGGACGUUCAUGGAGUUGAGGCAUAGUCAACAGCAUGGCUUCCGCGUUUGCACUUGAAUUAGGUUUUCCUUGUUUACCUUUCUAUUAUAAUUGCUCUAAUUACCAGUGGGAUUAAUGUUAUUCAAGUUGUGUUUUGUGUUAUUUGAAUUGGACGAUGUUGUGAUUUGGGGAGCAGGGUGGCUCCAGGAGAAUAAGGAUGGGUGAUUUAGAAGUUUAAAUUUCCUUUCUACAAGUUUUGGGUAGUCCAUUUUAGGGGAAGUUCUGCCAAAUUUUUUUGGAAGAAUUUCUUCUAAGGUGGGUCCCGCAGGGCCAGUUCGGAUUUUUAGGUGAAAUCUGGGACGGGUCUUGUCAUAUAUGGUUCGCAGGAGCUCUUUGGGUGGGUGUUUGGACUCCCGGUUUGCCGGAUGGCUUGCCAUCGUUUCUGGGGCAUCAUUGCUGAGCGGCGGUUGUGCUGACCAAGACUAGGCAACAUUGUUAAUAGCAACUUGGAUUUGAGGCAGCGUAGAUUCUGAAUCAACAACGGUGAGGAUUGUGAGACGUUGGUGCGAGGCAGUACAUUUUCGUGGCGGCGUGGAGUGCGAAGAUCUCAGUCGUGGCAUGGCGAUGUAGAGGCAAGAGCUGGGCGGAGUAGGUCGGCAAUGUUGCUGCAACUAGUACGUACGACAUGGCGUCUUGUAGAUGGAUGUGGACCUGGACCGAGCUUCCUUGAUGGGCUCUGGAUGGAACUCUUCCUUUAGAGGCUCUUGGGCUCAGUAACUUGGGCUAGGGUUCUUGCCCUAGGCCCGUCUUAUGUUUUAGCUUGUCUUUUACAAUAAAUUCCUUUUAGGAAGCUAAUGCACACUUUUAAGUGCACUCUUUGUACCUUAGUGCCUCUAGAGUAGUACCAAAUAAGGAUUCCCGCUAUGUCUACAUACAUGAAUGUCUAAUGAGCAGGUCUAAUUUUCAAGUA